CGUUAUCCUCAGGAAGCCCUGAGCGCUGAGAGGCACUGUUACAGAACCGAACUGGGGUCCACUCGCUAGGCCUACCUAGGUGCCUGGAAUUUCCCUUCGAGGAACGCAGGAGUUUUCUUUAUUUUCAUGCUUGGGAAGGCUCAUUAGGCCCCUAAGAGAGGGUCCCUUCCCCAUCUCAGGACUAAAAUGCAAUGAAGAUGUUGCUCAGAGGCAGCUGGAGAGGGAUGGGUCUGUGGAGGAUGCCCCGCAGAGUGAAGUCGAGAUGAUGCAGCCACCAGGGCCGGAGGGGAGGGACAUUCCACUUUUUAAAUCAGCUUUCUGAAGCAUGAUCUCCAUAUAAUCACCUAGAAGCGUACAGCACAAUGAUCUUGACAGAUGCCAGCAUCCUUGGAACCACUGCCACCACCAACGUCUCAAACCAUUCCAUCAAACCCAGAACACUCCUGGUGCCCUGAAGCGUCUCCCUUCAGUGGCAGAACCAGCAGAGAUUCAGUGGUCACAAGGCUGGUCUGGAACUCCUGGGUGCAAGCGAUCCUUCCACCUCGGCCUCCCAAAGUGCUGGGAUUAGAGGCAUAAGCCACCGCGCCCAGCCAGGAAUGGAUUUUCUCACAGUUCUCGAUGGCGGAAGUCUGAGAUCAAGGUCUUGGCAGGGCUAGGUCUCUCUGAGGCCUUUCUCCCCAGCUUAUAGGUCGCCGCCUCCUCUCUCUGUCUUUCCUUGUCUUCCUUGUGUCCACAGUUGUGUCCAAAUUCCCCUUUCUCAUAAGGACGUCAGUCAUGUUGGAUUAGGGCCCUCCCUCCUGACCUUGUUUUAGCUUAAUCUCUGCAACUUAACCCUUAACCUCAGUAAAGAUCCUAUUUCCAAAUGUGUUCACAUUCUGAGGUCCUGAGGAUUAGGACUUUGAAAGGAUUAAAACAGGCUCUUCUGGCAUAUUGACAAUUUCAGCUAAAGACUCUUGAGAAACAGCAGGUGCAAAAAGAUCACAGUGACCUCCAUGCUGUACCUUGAGAUGAAAUUCCAAUGCGAAAGAUGCCCUCUCCACCCUAGAAGGGAAAGCAACAUCCUUAUCUUUGGGAGUGAAAAGUCCAAACUGAGAGCAUACUGUGAGUACCUCAUUAGCAUCAUUCCAUUCUCUGAGCUUCCCCGCAGACUUCAGUUGCUUCUUCACAGCUCUGCUCUUUGUCCCGUCCAAUCUCUGAGUAACUAACUCACUGCUUCUGCAGGUCUUCAUUUCUGCAGGAGGGCUCCCAUGCUACAUAAAUCCUGCAUUACACUUUUCUCCUGUUAGUCUAUGUUAUGUCCAUUUAAUUCUCAGGCCCAGCCGGGACCCUAAGAGGACAGAGGUGGAGUUUUUCCACCCCUACAACUUUACCCAAUCACAAUUCAAUCCUAACAGUGCCUUUCUCUGGAGGGGCUCUGCCAGCAUGAAUUCCUUUACGGGUGGAAGCCUCACAGUCCAGUCUACCAGUGAGGUCCACAUGGGAUUGGCUGGAGGGAGCUACGAAGUCAAGCGGCGUCAGGUACAGAGAAACAAAUCCCACAUCCAAGGGCCAGGAGGCGGUAGAGCAAACCACGCACAGCCGGGUGACUUAAGGGCAAGGAAGUCUUCCUGCAGGAGGUGAAUUUGGCACAAGGGAUACGUUUUUAGGCCCUGAGUGGAGGAUCUGGGUUUCAAACUGGACUUUUGAAAAACACACUCUUAUUGUAGAAGGGCCUGCGGGUUUGUUUUAAUCACUUCUCAAAGCUACGCUAGGCAUUCGCAGCUCAGGAUCCCCAGUUUAGCCUAAUAAAAAAAAGUAAUUACAUCAUAUUACAGAUAAUUUGAUUGUGUCUGAGACGAUAAUUGAGUUAAAACGCUUAUUGUAACAGACACAUCAGAUUGGCAAGGAGGAAGCUCGGCUUAAAUACAAACAGUGUUGAGAGUGGAAUUAAAGGAUUGCCAUUGCAGUU